UUUUGUUGGUUUCUAGGACCGCCGUAAUGAUUAAUAGGGACAGUCGGGGGCAUCAGUAUUCAAUUGUCAGAGGUGAAAUUCUUGGAUCUAUUGAAGACUAACUACUGCGAAAGCAUUUGCCAAGGAUGUUUUCAUUGAUAAGGAACGAAAGUUAGGGGAUCGAAGACGAUCAGAUACCGUCGUAGUCUUAACUAUAAACUAUGCCGACUAGGGAUCGGACGAUGUUAUUUCUUGACGCGUUCGGCACCUUUCGAGAAAUCAAAGUGCUUGGGCUCCAGGGGGAGUAUGGUCGCAAGGCUGAAACUUAAAGAAAUUGACGGAAGGGCACCACCAGGGGUGGAACCUGCGGCUUAAUUUGACUCAACACGGGGAAACUCACCAGGUCCAGACACAGUGAGGAUUGACAGAUUGAGAGCUCUUUCUUGAUUCUGUGGGUGGUGGUGCAUGGCCGUUCUUAGUUGGUGGAGUGAUUUGUCUGCUUAAUUGCGAUAACGAACGAGACCUUAACCUGCUAAAUAGCCCGUACUGCUCUGGCAGUUCGCUGGCUUCUUAGAGGGACUAUCGGCUCAAGCCGAUGGAAGUUUGAGGCAAUAACAGGUCUGUGAUGCCCUUAGAUGUCCUGGGCCGCACGCGCGUUACACUGACAGGGCCAGCGAGUACCUCCUUGACCGAAAGGUCCGGGUAAUCUUGUUAAACUCUGUCGA
rnacentral:rRNA from 1 species